GGGGAUGCAGCUCUGUGGUAGAGCGCUUGCCUACAUGCAUGAGGUCCUGGGUUCAAUGCCCGGCACCACCA
rnacentral:tRNA from 1 species